GAUGAACGCUGGCGGCGUGCCUAAUACAUGCAAGUCGAGCGAACAGAUGAGGAGCUUGCUCCUCUGACGUUAGCGGCGGUCGGGUGAGUAACACGUGGAUAACCUACCUAUAAGACUUUGAUAACUUCGUGAAACCGGAGCUAAUACCGGUUAAUAUAUUGAACCCCAUGUCUCAAUAGUGCAAGACGGUUUUGCUGUCACUUAUAGAUGGAUCCGCGCCGCAUUAGCUAGUUGGUAAGGUAACGGCUUACCAAGGCAACGAUGCGUAGCCGACCUGAGAGGGUGUUCCGCUAUACUGGUACUGAGACGCGGUGCAGACUCCCAAGGGAGGCAGGAAUACAGAAACUUGCGCCAUAGGCGAGAGCGUGACCGAGCAACACCGCCUGGGUGCUGAAGGUCUUACGGUCGUAAGAGGCUGUUAAUGGGGAAGUUCAAAUGUGUAAGUAACUAUGCACAACUUUACGGUACCUAAUCAGUAGCCAACGGCUAACGACGUG
rnacentral:rRNA from 1 species